AUUGAACGCUGGCGGCAGGCCUAACACAUGCAAGUCGAACGAGUGGCGGACGGGUGAGUAAUGUCUGGGACACUGCCUGAUGGAGGGGGAUAACUACUGGAAACGGUAGCUAAUACCGCAUACCAUCAGAUGUGCCCAGAUGGGUUUAGUUAGUUGGUGGGGUAACGGCUCACCAAGGCAACGAUCCCUAGCUGGUCUGAGAGGAUGACCAGCCACACUGGAACGGAGACGCGGUCCAGACUCCUACGGGAGGCAUCAGUGGGGAAUAUUGCACAAUGGGCGCAAGCCUGAUGCAGCCAUGCCGCGUGUAUGAAGAGGGCCUUCGGGUUGUAAAGUACUUUCAGCGGGGAGGCGUUACCCUCAGAAGAAGCACCGGCUAACUCCGUGCCAGCCGCCGCGGUAAUAC
rnacentral:rRNA from 1 species